CCAGCACCCCGAGUGGUCGGGACGAUUAUUGGGCCUAAAGCAUCCGUAGCCGGCCUUACAAGUCCUCCGUUAAAUCCAGCUGCUUAACAGAUGGGCUGCGGAGGAUACUAUAAGACUAGGAGGCAGGAGAGGCAAGCGGUACUCAGUGGGUAGGGGUAAAAUCCGUUGAUCCAUUGAAGACCACCAGUGGCGAAGGCGGCUUGCCAGAAUGCGCUCGACGGUGAGGGAUGAAAGCUGGGGGAGCAAACCGGAUUAGAUACCCGGGUAGUCCCAGCUGUAAACGAUGCAGACUCGGUGAUGGACUAGCUUUAUGCUGGUCCAGUGCCGCAGGGAAGCCGUUAAGUCUGCCCGCCUGGGUAGUACGGUCGCAAGACUG
rnacentral:rRNA from 1 species